AGAUGUGAAGAAAAUCUGACUGUAAUAUCUGUCACCCCAUUGAUUUUCAGGAUUGAUUUAGCUAAUCUGACCAGCUAGGUAGAUGUACCCUUCCUCAAAAAGGACCACCUUUUCCUACAGAGGAGGACCACCUUUUCCAACACUUUUCUUUCUGCAAGGGUUAACAAGUAACUAUGCUCCCCUGCUAAAACCUCCAAACAAAUUCUCAAGGUUCAUUUAUAGGAGAGCAUAAGGUAGUCGAGUUUCCAAGACUCUAGGUAGAUACAAACAAGGUGAUGAAUGUAGCACUCUGACUUUCUUA
rnacentral:snRNA from 1 species